rnacentral:lncRNA from 1 species
AUGCCAUCGCUAAUAAGUCUAAGGAUUUUAAUGACGGGUAAAGUUUUUAUCGUAAUUAUCGAUCGAUAAAAAUGGCUAUUGGCGAUGGCAAAAUAUCAUUGCUAAUAGCCAUUUUUCUUGUAGUAGGAGGACCUCCCACCACAUCACCACUCUAGUCAUCCAUCCUAGUUGAGCACAACACUUUUUCGAAUGAAAUCCCAUA